GACGAACGCUGGCGGCGCGCUUAAUACAUGCAAGUCGAGCGAGAACCAGGGCUUCGGCUCUGGGGACAGCGGCGAACGGGUGAGUAACGCGAGGGUAAUCAACCCCCGACACCGGGAUAGCCCAGGGAAACUUGGAUUAAUACCGGAUGCCCCGUCUGGCCUUCGGGCCGGCCGGAAAAGGGUAGCUUCGGCCUCUGGUCGGGGACGAGCCCGCGGCGGAUUAGCUUGUUGGGGAGGUAAAGGCUCACCAAGGCGACGAUCCGUAGCUGGUCUGAGAGGACGAUCAGCCACACUGGGACUGAGACACGGCCCAGACUCCUACGGGAGGCAGCAGUAGGGAAUCUUGCGCAAUGGGCGAAAGCCUGACGCAGCGACGCCGCGUGAGGGAAGAAGGCCUUCGGGUUGUAAACCUCUUUCAGGAGGGACGAAGCCACUCGGGUUAAUAGCCUAGAGGGUGACGGUACCUCCAGAAGAAGCCCCGGCUAACUACGUGCCAGCAGCCGCAGUAACAC
rnacentral:rRNA from 1 species